AAACAUUCCUGAAUUACAUUCAAAGAAAAGUAGGAAAUUCAUUAGUGAGAGACCUAGUUCAGAUGCAGUUGUUCACAUAAAUAUUCCACCAAGAAGUUAAAGAAUCCCUACACCAAGAAGAUUAGAGAUUUCAGGUUCUUAUCAUGGCCUAGAAAAUUAAUAUAUAUAAUUGUUUGCUUCAAGUCUUCUACAGUCCUACUUUGACAAUAAAAAACUGACUACAUUUUCCUUUAAAAUAGAAUAAAAAAGGGUGAACUAAAGCAUGAAGCAUCUGAGAAGGAUUGAAAUAGAAUACACAGCGCAAAAAUAUGUUGCUUUUUUCAUUUAAGUUUCCUCAUUGUCUUGGCAUAAACAACUGACUCCAGACACUCUUACCAUAAUUAUUAAAUUCCCAAUUUAGAAAAAGGGCCAAUGAUCAUCCAACAAUACAGGGUAACCCAGUCCAUAAAGCAUCCCACACUUGUGGGCUCAGGGGAGAGUUAAUGCACACAGCCUUACCCUUGCUUUGCA
rnacentral:misc_RNA from 1 species